rnacentral:rRNA from 1 species
GGGGGGGGGGGGGGGGGGGGGGGGGGGGUGGGGGGGGGGGGGGGAGGCGGGGAGCGGGCGCGGCUGGGGGGAGCGGCGGACGGUGGAGUGGCAGGUGGAUAGCCUCCCGAUCAUCCUGGGGGGACUGCGGGCGAGCGGGUCUACGACGGGCUAAUUUAUUGACCCUCAUGGUUCAAUAGUGAAAGACGGUUUUGCUGUCCCUUAUAGCUGGAUCCGCGCCGCAUUAGCUAGUUGGUAAGGUAACGGCUUACCAAGGCAACGAUGCGUAGCCGACCUGAGAGGGUGAUCGGCCACACUGGAACUGAGACACGGUCCAGACUCCUACGGGAGGCAGCAGUAGGGAAUCUUCCGCAAUGGGCGAAAGCCUGACGGAGCAACGCCGCGUGAGUGAUGAAGGUCUUCGGAUCGUAAAACUCUGUUAUUAGGGAAGAACAAAUGUGUAAGUAACUAUGCACGUCUUGACGGUACCUAAUCAGAAAGCCACGGCUAACUACGUG